rnacentral:lncRNA from 1 species
AACAAUCUAAAUAAUUAAAGAUGAGAGUGAUUCUUAAACAAAAGUUGAAUAAAAGAACUAUAACAUCAAAAUCAUGACAUGUCUGUCUCAAUCCAAAAAUGUGCAUAUUGGUUUACAUUUGAAAACAUAAUAAUUAUCUACUAGUUGUGAAUCUUACCCUGUUUUGGACGUCGAGGUGGGGGAACAAAAGCAUCUGCUAGAGUUAAUCAAUUUUCACUGAAGAAUAGAUGAGCCUUGUGAACCAUAAGCAUGCAUAGAAUCCGAUUGUCCCAGUUAGCACGAAAAAUGCAUACGAUGCGAUUAGCAUGUAUCCGAAGUACAAGGCCCCUGAAACCA